rnacentral:rRNA from 1 species
UUGAGAGUUUGAUCCUGGCUCAGGAUGAACGCUGGCGGCAUGUCUAAGGCAUGCAAGUCGAACGGUCCAUAUGCGAUUACAUCAAGAAUGGAUAGUGGCAAACGGGAGCGGAACACAUUGGUAACCUACCUCGAGCUCGUGAACAACCAUUGGAAACGAUGGCUAAUACACGAUAUGGAUGGGGGGACUUCGGUCAUUCCCAUUGAAAGCUUCGGCGGCACGAGAGGGGCCUAUGUCCUAUCAGCUUGUUGGUGAGGUAAUGGCUCACCAAGGCUACGACGGGUACCGGGCGUGAGAGCGUGGCCCGGCUCACUGGGACUGAGACACUGCCCAGACACCUACGGGUGGCUGCAGUCAAGAAUCUUCCGCAAUGCACGAAAGUGUGACGGAGCAAUGCCGCGUGAUUGAUGAAGGCCUUCGGGUCGUAAAGAUCUUUUAUCAGGGACGAACAAAUGACGGUACCUGAUGAAUAAGAGGUUGCUAACUCUGUGCCAGCAGCAGCGGUAAUACAGAGACCUCGAGCGUUAUCCGGAUUUAUUGGGCGUAAAGGGUCCGUAGGUGGCUUUUUAAGUCAUUCGUUAAAUCUUCAGGCUCAACCUGAAGGCCGCGGGUGAUACUGGAAGGCUAGAGGGUGGGAGAGGCAGAUGGAAUUGCUGGUGUAGCGGUAAAAUGCGUUAAUAUCAGCAAGAACACCAAAGGCGAAAGCAAUCUGCUAGAACACAUCUGACACUGAGGGACGAAAGCGUGGGUAGCGAAUCGGAUUAGAUACCCGAGUAGUCCACGCCGUAAACGAUGAGUGCUAGAUUUUGGGAGUAUCGACCCUCCCAGAGUCGACGAACCUAGUUAACACAUUAAGCACUCCGCCUGGGUAGUACGAGCGCAAGCUUAAAACCUAAAGGAAUAGACGGGGACCCGCACAAGCGGUGGAGCGUGCGGUUUAAUUCGAUGGUAAGCGAGGAACCUUACCUGGGCUUGAAAAACAGCUGCAAGCCACCCGAAAGGGAGGCCUCUUUCGAAGGUGCUGUUUAGGUGCUGCAUGGUUGUCGUCAGCUCGUGGUGUGAACUGUUCCCUUAAGUGGGGUAACGAGCGCAACCCUCGUCCUGUGUUACAAGUGUCGCAGGAUACUGCCCGGGCAACCGGGAGGAAGGUGAGGAUGACGUCAAAUCAGCAUGGCCCUUACGUCCAGGGCGACACGCGCGCUACAAUGGUAGGUACAAUGGGCAGCCAAAGAGCAAUCUGGAGCGAAUCCCAUAAAACCUAUCUCAGUUCGGAUUGAAGUCUGCAACUCGACUUCAUGAAGUUGGAAUCGCUAGUAACGGCCAAUCAGCCACGUGGCCGUGAAUACGUUCUCGGGUCUUGUACUCACCGCCCGUCAAGUCAAGGGAGUUGGUAAUACCCGAACGUCGCCGUAGGGCGGCGGAAGGUAGGACUAAUAACAGGGACUAAGUCGUAACAAGGCACCCGUAGCGGAAGCUGUGGGUGGAUCACCUCCUUUUUA